AGCGAACGCUGGCGGCAGGCUUAACACAUGCAAGUCGAGCGGGCACUUUCGGGUGUCAGCGGCGGACGGGUGAGUAACGCGUGGGAACGUGCCCUCUGGUUCGGAAUAACUCAGGGAAACUUGAGCUAAUACCGGAUACGCCCUUUUGGGGAAAGGCUUGCUGCCGGAGGAUCGGCCCGCGUCUGAUUAGCUAGUUGGUGAGGUAACGGCUCACCAAGGCGACGAUCAGUAGCUGGUCUGAGAGGAUGAUCAGCCACACUGGGACUGAGACACGGCCCAGACUCCUACGGGAGGAAGCAGGGGGGAAUAUUGGACAAUGGGCGCAAGCCUGAUCCAGCCAUGCCGCGUGAGUGAUGAGGCCUUAGGGUUGUAAAGCUCUUUUAUCCGGGACGAUAAUGACGGUACCGGAGGAAUAAGCCCCGGCUAACUUCGUG
rnacentral:rRNA from 1 species